rnacentral:lncRNA from 1 species
AAAUACAUCUCUAUAUAGUUAGUUACCUGUUUGCUUUCCUAUGCAAACAGCCAACAGGCCUUUCAAUUAUAAAAGGACAUUUUCGUUCUCAAGUUUAAUUAUUGUUAUCUAUAUUAUUAUAUUGCCAAUACUCACCAACCUGAUAGCUCAACAAGUAUAUCAUUAUUCGUUAUGUAAACUUUUGGUUAUCAUUUUAACUAACCUCCUCUAGACUUAUUUAACAAAUGUAGCUUAUGUAAUAUAAUAUCAAAAUCCAAUCUUGAAAAAUGAAUCAUUUUCAAGAAUCAGAAGCGGAAUCAGAAUAUCAAACUUACGUCCAAACUCGUACAUUAGUCUCUAGUUUGGGCCGGAUUAUAAUAGACAAAGUUUACCGCUCUCGUCAUUUUGUUCUUGCAUCUGUUAUCCAACUUCCAAUAAAACUCAAUUACUAUGCCCAAUUUAGCACUUUCUCCCUCUCCAAAAAAGUGAAAACUCAGACCACAAAACUGGAAAAACUUCACCUUCUCGACAACAAGCCAUGCAACAAUGACCAAAACCACCUGUGACCAGGUUAAAAAUACAACACAGAUAUGAGAUAACUAUGUCACUCUACCAUCUGAAAAAUUUUGUCUUAAAAAAACAGUUCAGAUUUGGUCUCUUCGUUUUUUCUUGUUCCACGUUUUCCAAUUUGUUUCACAGUUUUCCUAUAUUUCCCUUCAGCUUUCUUGUUUGACCCACCAAUCCCCUCUUCACAUUUUGACCCUUCUUCCUAUUAUAUAAACACAACAACCAAAAACCUACAAAGCAUUUAUAAAUUCAUAAUAUCAUCAAACAGUUUGGUGAAGGGGCAAGGAAGAAGAAGAAGAAGAAGAAGAAGAAGAGAGAGCUUUACUGCAUUGCUUAUGGCAUCCAUUUGGAUAAUGAUAUCUCCAUGGACACCUUAUCUCUUCUCUUUCAUAGCUCUUAUACUUCUUCUUGAACAAAUCUUUUACCUCAAAAAGAAGCGUUUUCUUCCUGGUCCGAGUUUAGUGUUUCCCUUUUUUGGCAACGUUUUCCCUUUAGUCACCAACCCCACCAAAUUCUGGGACCUUCAAUCCGCUUUAGCUAAGUCUACAAGACAUGGUUUCUCAGCUAAUUACACCAUCGGUAAGUUCAUUCUAUACAUCCAUUCCACUGACCUCUCUCACAAGGUCUUCGCCAAUGUCCGCCCCGACGCUUUCCAUCUCAUCGGUCACCCUUUCGGGAAAAAGCUAUUCGGGGAGCAUAACUUGAUUUACCUAUUUGGGCAAGAACAUAAAGACCUCCGCCGAAGAAUUGCCCCAAAUUUUACCCCGAAAGCUCUUGCUACGUACACCGAUAUCCAACAGAGGAUUAUUAUCAAACACUUCAAGUCCUGGUUGGAUGAAGCAUCUAAAUCCCCUAGCACUCCAAUCCCGCUUCGUCUCCUUUGCCGGGACAUGAAUUUAGAUACUUCCCAGAUCGUCUUUGUCGGUCCAUACUUGAAUGAAGAAUCUAGAAGGCGAUUCAAUGUUGAUUACAAUUACUUCAAUGUUGGGUUGAUGAAACUCCCCGUUGAUUUACCGGGUUUCGCUUUCAGAAACGCUAGGUUAGGAGUUGGGAGAUUGGUCGAAACUCUUUCGGUUUGUGUGGAACAGAGCUUAAACAAGAUGAAAAGUGAAGAACAACCUACAUGCUUAAUUGAUUUCUGGAUGCAGGAGAAUUUAAGAGAGAUUAACGAAGCUAAGAAAAAUGGAUUAACAAAGCCAUUUGAGUACAGUAACAAGGAACUUGGAGGUUACCUAUUCGACUUCCUCUUUGCAGCUCAAGAUGCUUCUACUUCUGCUUUACUAUGGGCACUGGUGCUAUUGGAUUCUCACCAAAAUGUUCUUGAGAAAGUCCGGGAAGAAGUAGCGAAAUUCUGGUCGUCG